UACGGAGGGUGCAAACGUUGCUCGGAAUCAUUGGGCGUAAAGCGCACGUAGGCGGACCGCUAAGUCGGAUGUGAAAGCCCUCGGCUUAACCGAGGAAGUGCACUCGAAACUGACGGUCUUGAGUAUGGAAGAGGGUCGCGGAAUUCCUGGUGUAGCGGUGAAAUGCGCAGAUAUCAGGAGGAACACCGGUGGCGAAGGCGGGUCUCUGGGCCGAUACUGACGCUGAGGAGCGAAAGCGUGGGGAGCGAACAGG
rnacentral:rRNA from 1 species